AGAGGAGCGGAACCCCCUGACACC
rnacentral:miRNA from 1 species